rnacentral:rRNA from 1 species
UACGAAGGGGGCUAGCGUUGCUCGGAAUCACUGGGCGCAAAGCGCACGUAGGCGGAUUGCUAAGUCAGGGGUGAAAUCCUGGAGCUCAACUCCAGAACUGCCUUUGAUACUGGCGAUCUUGAGUCCGGGAGAGGUGAGUGGAACUGCGAGUGUAGAGGUGAAAUUCGUAGAUAUUCGCAAGAACACCAGUGGCGAAGGCGGCUCACUGGCCCGGCCCUGACACUGAGACGCGAAGGCGUGGGGAGCGAACGGG